CACGGAAAAAAAAAAAAAAAAUUAAAAAAAAAUUUAAAAAAACUAAUCAAACGAACUAGUAAGGCUAAGGAGAACGCGAGGCAUUAGAUGAAAGGCGGAGGAAGGGCCAGCCCAUCUCCGAGCCCCCGGCCAGCCCCGGCUCCCGCGGCCGCUCCCCGCGCCUGCGCCGCGCCCGCUCCGGUUGCCCGGGGAACGGCGAGGCCGCCAAGCGCCAUCGGCCAUUCCGUGUGGGAAGGGAAGGGAAGGCGUGGGGAAAGGGAAGCGGCCUUUGACCUUCCUGCCGACACGCACAGGCCGCGCCGGGGGCUCGCGGGCUGCUCUCCAUGAAUUCCUCUCCCAGUCUGGACAAGCCACAGCACGUCAGACACGAAGUCCAUCCACCACAUCACUCUGUGAUUCCCAACCUAACAGGCACAAGCUUCUGAGAUUUGUGUCCAGUUUCCUCAACAGGUAACAGGAGACAACUUGCCACUGCUCACAAAUCCCAAGAGAUACAACUGUAGCAGAGACAAAAUGAGCAGGACUGAAAAGUCACUGAAGUGAGCUGAGUCUGAGAACAGUAUGGAAAGUGCAGGAUUUUCAGUUUCUGCAGCAGCUCCAUCCUCCUCAUCACUGCUGGAGGACUCCAGGAUUUCACUGAUGUCCAUUUUCCAGUUCCGAGGAACUCCCUUGGUGCUGAGAAAGUAUUUCAGAAAAUCUGGAGUAAAACUUCACGAACCAGAGGCUGCCAUUUUCUGAAGUUAAAGCUAUUAGGCUAUAGGAAGGGAACAAAAAAAAUCAGACAAAGCAGAUCUAGAUGUUUUACCAGUAACACUCAACCUUCAGCACAGAGCCAGGCUUAUCCAGAAGGCUGAUGACAUAUCCACAUGAAGAGGCCAAAAUGAACCAAGUCCUCAGGUUAUUGCUACAACUCCAAAUUUUUCAAAAGCAAAAAUCCUAAAGGUUGUGUUUUAUAAGGAAGAUUCACUGGGCAGGGAGAGGGCAGGAAACAGGAACAGAAGACAAGGAGACAUCUCCCCAUCCACACACACACAGAGUGAAGUCAUCAGAGGAUGUGUUUGCAGUGUCACCAUUCUCAUCUCUGAAGAGGAAAUUACAGUCCUGCCUUUCCAAAAAACAAGGGUGAAAAAGCAGAAGCCCUUGAGGUCCUCCCAUUGCCUCAUCUGGCAGUGGGCAGGGGCCUGCUGGGGAAAGAAGGUGCAGCAGCUGAUUCCUGGGAAGGGAAGGAUACAAACUAGCCAGGGAACUGCUCACUGCUCUGAACAGCCAAGGGAGCAGCACGGGAAGGAAGGGAAGUGACAUUUCUGCCGGGCAGAGCCCUUUCUUCCAAACAUGUUCCUUAAUGAGGAACACUGACAGAAGGGGAGAAGAGAUGAGUAAGCAGCACAACCUGGAGGAACAGUCCCUGCCAUAAUGCUUGGUCUAGUCCCAAGAACUGAGCCCAAUAUGUUCCAUGCAGAGCAUACUGAAACAGGGACAAGAAAAUGGAAAUUUUCAGGAUUUUGCUGCAUCUCGACCUUGUCUGUGACAAUAGGAAAGAAACAGAAUUGGUUUUUUUUCUGUUUGUGGAAAUCUACACAACCCUAAUCUAGGACAGAAAAAUAAAAACAAACUUCCCAGCAGUGAUCAAUACAACAACUUGCAAGAACUAAAAAAACCAAAAAAAUUACUAUAAGUUAGUAAAUAUAUAAUAUAUAAAAUUAUAAUACUCAUAUAUAAAAGUAUAUAAAUAUACAAUAUAUAAUUUACUGUAAGUUAGUGAAGUUAGUAAACUUUAGGUUUACUUAAAGUUGCAAAAAUACAACUUUAAGCUCACUAUUGAUUAGCUGGUAUCUUCCAUUUCCUGUCCAUGGCAGACUUGUACACAACAUCAGCAAAAAUCCACUGACCCUAUCUUUACAAUAAGGCUGUCUCAAGUUUGGUUUUCAUGUAUUUAAAGACAUAAUAUCAACCAGUCAACUGAUCAAAAUCAUUUUUAGGAACUGUGAAGAAGCUUCUCUCAAAACACUACAGAUUAGUUUGACUACAUCUCAUUUAGAAAUAUAUAUACAGCUGUGUUAUAAAUAGAUUUAAGACAGAAAAAAAACCAACAAAAAACAAGACAGAAAGGAGAAGAGAGCAGAACUCUAGAGAGAACAUCCUCAUGGCAGUUCCGAGAUGACUUCCACAGAGCCACCAGUGUUAGCAGCACAAGGCAGUUCUGUGACACACAAGUGCACAGGGCAAACAGCCCUCAAGCUGCAUCCUGCAAACUUCAAAUCCAACAAGCUGUGUUACUGCUGCUGCCCAAACCAAGAGAGAUUAGAUUCUACACUGCAAGGAAACAAUUCUGUUUCGUUUCCCAACCCAUUGAGAAACUUUUAAGUCACCAAUACAAUGAAAUGAAAGUACAUACCACAAAUUAAAGCUGUUCCAGUGUCACUGUGCACACUGAAUUAUUCUCACUGGCUGCCUGGCAAGCAGCAAUUUAUGAACUACAAGAAAUGUUGUCUAGGAAUAUCUUGACUAAUGUGUGCAGAUUUUGCAGAUAUUUGGGGUUCGGCUGUGGAAACAAUAUAGGAAGUACCAGGAGCUGUGCAGUGCUUGUUAAGUGGCCUUGUAGACAAGGGUUGUACCACUGAUUCAUCAUUGUAAAAGGACUAAAGAGCAAGUGCUGCACUGUACUGUGCUACUGAGACACCACAAAACUCAAAUUUACUAUUUUUAAAUGAUUUUAAGUGAGCCCAAGUUCCUCUUACAAAAACAUAUUUGAAAUAUCCCAGAAAACAAGGAAGUUUGAGUGGCCUUUGAGGCUACUCAUAGAAAACUAUCACCUCCCAGACAAAAGCCUGCUGCCUGAAUCUGCUUUUUCUGAAAUGUGAAUCUUACUGUUGUUACACAUAAAGAGAUUAGAGAAAAAAUCUACCUCCUUGCUUUCCCUAGAGUAUUGUUUGUACACAAUUUUAAGAUAUUUUUAACACUCUGUUCACAUAGUAACAAAGGUGGUUUCAAAAGCAAAGGUUAGAUCCAGUUGAUUUGUAACAAGGUUCUACUGUUAAAAUACUAUUUUUCACAACAAAAUCUUGCUCCUCCUUUCACCUGUUCCCUAAAAUGUGUAAACACAACACAAAUUGUUAUUCUUUUU